rnacentral:rRNA from 1 species
UACGUAGGGGGCAAGCGUUGUCCGGAAUCAUUGGGCGUAAAGAGCGUGUAGGCGGCCCGAUAAGUCCGCUGUGAAAGUCCAGGGCUCAACCCUGGGAUGCCGGUGGAUACUGUCGGGCUCGAGUCCGGAAGAGGAGUGUGGAAUUCCGUGGUGUAGCGGUGAAAUGCGCAGAUAUCAGGAGGAACACCGGUGGCGAAGGCGGAUCUCUGGGCCAUUACUGACGCUGAGGAGCGAAAGCGUGGGGAGCGAACAGG